rnacentral:rRNA from 1 species
CCUACGGGAGGCAGCAGUGAGGAAUAUUGGACAAUGGGCGCAAGCCUGAUCCAGCCAUGCCGCGUGCAGGAUGACGGUCCUAUGGAUUGUAAACUGCUUUUGCACAGGAAGAAACACUCGGACGUGUCCGAGCUUGACGGUACUGUGAGAAUAAGGAUCGGCUAACUCCGUGCCAGCAGCCGCGGUAAUACGGAGGAUCCAAGCGUUAUCCGGAAUCAUUGGGUUUAAAGGUCCGUAGGCGGUUUAGUAAGUCAGUGGUGAAAGCCCAUCGCUCAACGGUGGAACGGCCAUUGAUACUGCUAGACUUGAAUUAUUAGGAAGUAACUAGAAUAUGUAGUGUAGCGGUGAAAUGCUUAGAGAUUACAUGGAAUACCAAUUGCGAAGGCAGGUUACUACUAAUUGAUUGACGCUGAUGGACGAAAGCGUGGGUAGCGAACAGGAUUAGAUACCCUGGUAGUCCACGCCGUAAACGAUGGAUACUAGCUGUUGGGAGCAAUUUCAGUGGCUAAGCGAAAGUGAUAAGUAUCCCACCUGGGGAGUACGUUCGCAAGAAUGAAACUUAAAUGAAUUGAGG